AUCACUUGUCUCUUAAAUGGAGACCUGUAUGAAUGGCAUAACGAGGGCUUAACUGUCUCCUUCCCCUGGUCAAUGAAAUUGAUCUCCCCGUGCAGAAGCGGGGAUGAAACCAUAAGACGAGAAGACCCUGUGGAGCUUUUAAACACACGGGAGCUUAUGUUAAUUAAUUUAAAUAAAAGAUAAACAAAUAAAACCUUCCUAAUGUUUUUGGUUGGGGCGACCAUGGGGGAUCAAUAAGCCCCCAUGCGGAAGAAACUUAAUUCUUAAAGCCACGAGGCACACCUCUAAGCAUCAGAACAUCUGACCUAAAGAUCCGGCAAGACCGAUUAACGAAACAAGUUACCCCAGGGAUAACAGCGCAAUCCCCUUCGAGAGUUCU
rnacentral:rRNA from 1 species